AAAGACGGCGCGGAGGACCCCGCCUCCCCCCGUGCGCGUGUAUAAGACGGGCUGCACGUGAGUCUCGCUUCCUUCUCGUCGCUGGUCCUGCAGGCAUGGCGGAGGGUUCGGGAGACGAGCCGUCCCGGGGGGCGGUGGAGAUCCCGGACUACACGCAGAGAGGCGGGAGGAGGAGACUUCGGGGGGUGAUGUAGCGUUUGACCGGGUGCUGGGCGCCUGGCCAGUUGGACCUCAAGGUGAGCCUUUGAAGUGCAUUUGAAAUUGGGGUGGUGGGGUAGGAGGUGCAUCCUUACACCGACAGUGGUAGGGGUGGGGAACAAGCGGCCCAGUCCGUGUGGUUGAAGCCGAUACCCCGGCUUCUCUCCAGACACAGCUGGGUGAG